rnacentral:rRNA from 1 species
UACGUAGGGGGCAAGCGUUGUCCGGAAUUAUUGGGCGUAAAGAGCGUGUAGGCGGCUUGAUAGGUCAGUUGUGAAAACUCGAGGCUCAACCUCGAGACGUCGAUGGAAACCAUCUGGCUAGAGUCCGGAAGAGGAGAGUGGAAUUCCUGGUGUAGCGGUGAAAUGCGCAGAUAUCAGGAAGAACACCAGUGGCGAAGGCGGCUCUCUGGUACGUGACUGACGCUGAGACGCGAAAGCGUGGGGAGCAAACAGG